UUUUAAACUAUGGACCUUUUCGUAAAUACUAAUUUUUGAGGGACUUGGCAGCACAUUGUGCAUUUAAUCCCUAAUUUUGUUUCGAUUCCCAUUCCUAAUAGCACCGUAGCCAACCUAUUUUUUUUCCUCUCGCUCGACUCCCUCUCCCUUCAUGUCCGUGCGGCCUUCCAUCCGCUCCGCAUGUGCGCACGACGCCGCUUGAUCAACGUCGUCGUCAUCGUCAUCCGUGGCCGCCGCCACCGUACAUCUCAUGUAUAUUCGUCGUUGACGGCACUCCAUCGUCGUCGUUACCGUCUUUGAGAAGAUUCCAAUAAUUGAUUUUUCAUGCGAUUGUCGACUGGUUAGCUUUUUAGCUACGAAGCUACUUUAAGGGCGACCGGACUAUUUGACUUGACAGGUUGCGUGUUCCGGACAGUACGACGGACCAACCCGAAAAGUUUUGACGCGGCGCGGCGCAGGCGGCGCGCAUGCUGGAAAUCUGGGCGCCCACAUCUUCUAGAAGCCCAAAAUGAUUCCGCUCAGAGAAAGCGGCGCACGUGGUUUGUCUAUGUCAGAAAAGUCAGCGCGCAUGUUCUGGGUGCCCACAAAUUCUGAAGGCCCGAAUAUACGAAUCCAGAAAAGCGGCGCACGUUGUCUGACAGGCAGUUGGAAGCGCAGUGCGCGUGCACAACUUCUGGGCGCCCGAAAUCUGGUUUAGGGUGCUCGAAAGUGCAACGGUCUAGAGUUGGCCGAGGCUAUAAAUAGAUGACUUUGAGGCCUUUCUCAGCCUUUUUUUUUAGACAGUCCACUUGAGCUUAAAAAUUUUAGUAUUCUAUAUACUCUUAGCUCUAAAUUCUCUCUCUAAACUUGAGUGCAAUUUGUAGUGAGAUUUAAUCUUGUAAAAAGAGAGAAAAUCAAAAUCUUGGAGCUUGAAAAGAAGAAGGUGUUGCUGUGAAGGCUUGGUGCUUGCCUGCAAAAGCAUCAACUAGUAGAGAUCCAAUAUUCUCUAGUGUUGAGAAGUUAGCGGGGACGUAGGCAAAGUGCCGAAUCUCGAAACAAAUCGAUUG